UCGAUUCGGAGUUUGUUGCCUAGAGUGAUGGGCUCCGAAGCUAACGCGAUAAAUCGACCGCCUGGGGAGUACGGCCGCAAGGUUAAAACUCAAAUGAAUUGACGGGGGCCCGCACAAGCGGUGGAGCAUGUGGUUUAAUUCGAUGCAACGCGAAGAACCUUACCUGGUCUUGACAUCCACAGAAUCUUGCAGAGAUGCGAGAGUGCCUUCGGGAACUGUGAGACAGGUGCUGCAUGGCUGUCGUCAGCUCGUGUUGUGAAAUGUUGGGUUAAGUCCCGCAACGAGCGCAACCCUUAUCCUUUGUUGCCAUUGGUUCGGCCGGGAACUCAAAGGAGACUGCCGUUGAUAAAGCGGAGGAAGGUGGGGACGACGUCAAGUCAUCAUGGCCCUUACGACCAGGGCUACACACGUGCUACAAUGGCGUAUACAAAGGGAGGCGACCUCGCGAGAGCAAGCGGACCUCAUAAAGUACGUCUAAGUCCGGAUUGGAGUCUGCAACUCGACUCCAUGAAGUCGGAAUCGCUAGUAAUCGUGAAUCAGAAUGUCACGGUGAAUACGUUCCCGGGCCU
rnacentral:rRNA from 1 species